UACGGAGGGUGCAAGCGUUAUCCGGAUUCACUGGGUUUAAAGGGUGCGUAGGCGGGUUGGUAAGUCAGUGGUGAAAUCUUCAAGCUUAACUUGGAACUGCCGUUGAUACUAUCAAUCUUGAAUAUUGUGGAGGUAAGCGGAAUAUGUCAUGUAGCGGUGAAAUGCAUAGAUAUGACAUAGAACACCGAUAGCGAAGGCAGCUUGCUACACAAUAAUUGACACUGAGGCACGAAAGCUAGGGGAGCAAACAGG
rnacentral:rRNA from 1 species